rnacentral:rRNA from 1 species
GUCGAGAAUCUUCCGCAAUGCGCGAAAGCGUGACGGAGCGACACCGCGUGAUGGAUGAAGUCCUUCGGGGCGUAAACAUCUUUUAUAAAGGAGGAAAUUUUUGACGUUACUUUAUGAAUAAGGGGCUCCCAAUCUCGUGCCAGCAGGAGCGGUAAUACGAGAGCCUCAAGCGUUAUCCGGAAUCAUUGGGCGUAAAGGGUGCGUAGGUGGUUUGAUUAGUCUCCCGUUAAAACUUCGAGCUUAACUCGAAAAGAGCGGGGGAAACGGUCAAACUAGAGUAUGUGAGAGGUGGGUGGAACUCAUGGUGUAGGGGUGAAAUCCGUUGAUAUCAUGGGGAACACCAAAAGCGAAGGCAGCACACUGGCACAUCACUGACACUGAGGCACGAAACCUAAGGUAGCGAAUGGGAUUAGAAACCCGUUUAGUCC